rnacentral:lncRNA from 1 species
AGCGAGGCCAGGGUAGGGUGAGCGGCCUCCGAAGCGGAGCGGGGCUCUGAGGAGACACUUUUUUUUUCCUCCCUCCUUCCCUCCUCUCCUCCUCCCUUCCCUUCCCCUCUCCUCCCCUCUCUCCUCCUUCCCCCCUCGGUCCGCCGGAGCCUGCUGGGGCGAGCGGUUGGUAUUGCAGGCGCUUGCUCUCCGGGGCCGCCCGGCGGGUAGCUGGCGGGGGGAGGAGGCAGGAACCGCGAUGGCGCCUCAGAAGCACGGCGGUGGGGGAGGGGGCGGCUCGGGGCCCAGCGCGGGGUCCGGGGGAGGCGGCUUCGGGGGUUCGGCGGCGGUGGCGGCGGCGACGGCUUCGGGCGGCAAAUCCGGCGGCGGGAGCUGUGGAGGGGGUGGCAGUUACUCGGCCUCCUCCUCCUCCUCCGCGGCGGCAGCGGCGGGGGCUGCGGUGUUACCGGUGAAGAAGCCGAAAAUGGAGCACGUCCAGGCUGACCACGAGCUUUUCCUCCAGGCCUUUGAGAAGCCAACACAGAUCUAUAGAUUUCUUCGAACUCGGAAUCUCAUAGCACCAAUAUUUUUGCACAGAACUCUUACUUACAUGUCUCAUCGAAACUCCAGAACAAACAUCAAAAGGAAAACAUUUAAAGUUGAUGAUAUGUUAUCAAAAGUAGAGAAAAUGAAAGGAGAGCAAGAAUCUCAUAGCUUGUCAGCUCAUUUGCAGCUUACGUUUACUGGUUUCUUCCACAAAAAUGAUAAGCCAUCACCAAACUCAGAAAAUGAACAAAAUUCUGUUACCCUGGAAGUCCUGCUUGUGAAAGUUUGCCACAAAAAAAGAAAGGAUGUAAGUUGUCCAAUAAGAGUGACUCGUCCAGGAAGAAGAGAGUUUAAUGGAAUGAUUAAUGGAGAAACCAAUGAAAA